rnacentral:misc_RNA from 1 species
UGGUUCUGGCAUNGAUGAAGAACGCAGCGAAAUGCGAUAAGUAAUGUGAAUUGCAGAAUUCAGUGAAUCAUCGAAUCUUUGAACGCACAUUGCACCCUCUGGUAUUCCGGGGGGUAUGCCUGUUCGAGCGUCAUUACAACCCUCAAGCCCUGCUUGGUAUUGGAUGCAAUUGCUAAAUUCAUCUCAAAAUUAGUGGUGGUGCCGUCUGGCUUCCAGCGUAGUAAUCGUCUCGCUGUGGGCGUCCAGGCUGUUGCUGCCAGCAAACAACUCACUAGGUUGACCUCGGAUCAGGUAGGGAUACCCGCUGA